AGGACGAACGCUGGCGGCGUGCCUAAUGCAUGCAAGUCGCACGCAGGGUGCUUGCACUCUGAGUGGCGCACGGCUGAGGAUCACGUGGGAACAUGCCUCCUUGUGGGGGACAACACCGCGAAAGCGGUGCUAAUCCCGCAUACGCUCGGCAACGAGGAAAGCGUGUAAACGCGCAGGGAGAGUGGCCCGCGGCCCAUCAGGUCGUUGGUGGGGUAAUGGCCUACCAAGCCGGUGACGGGUAGCUGGUCUGUGAGGACAGACAGCCAGACUGGGACUGAGACACGGCCCAGACUCCUACGGGAGGCAGCAGCAAGGAAUUUUCGCAAUGGGCGCAAGCCUGAACGAGCAACGCCGCGUGGAGGAUGACGGCCUUCGGGUUGUAAACUCCUUUUCGGGGAUGAUAAUGACAGUACCCGGGAAUAAGGCUCGGCUAACUCUGUGCCAGCAGCCGC
rnacentral:rRNA from 1 species